rfam:Schistosoma haematobium scaffold1161_10, whole genome shotgun sequence.
AUCCAGCUGACGAGUCCCAAAUAGGACGUAACGCGCGUCAAACUGGAU